rnacentral:rRNA from 1 species
GGGGAAUAUUGCGCAAUGGGGGGAACCCUGACGCAGCAACGCCGCGUGAGUGAAGAAGGCCUUCGGGUCGUAAAGCUCUGUCUAUGGGGACGAAGAAUGACGGUACCCAAGGAGGAAGCCACGGCUAACUACGUGCCAGCAGCCGCGGUAAUACGUAGGUGGCGAGCGUUGUCCGGAAUUACUGGGCGUAAAGGGUGUGUAGGCGGACUAUUAAGUUAGAUGUGAAAGCCCGGGGCUUAACUCCGGGACUGCAUUUAAAACUGGUAGUCUAGAGUGCAGGAGAGGAAAGCGGAAUUCCUGGUGUAGCGGUGAAAUGCGUAGAUAUCAGGAAGAACAUCAGUGGCGAAGGCGGCUUUCUGGACUGUAACUGACGCUGAGGCACGAAAGCGUGGGGAGCAAAC